ACGAGUGAAGUUGACCGCUGGGGAGUUCGGCCUCAAGGGUUUAAACUCAAAGGAAUUGACGGGGACCCGCACAAGCGGUGGAUGAUGUGGUUUAAUUCGAUGCAACGGGAAAAACCUUACCUACCUUUGACAUGUACGGAACUGGCCAGAGAUGGCUUGGUGCUCGAAAGAGAGCCCGUAACACAGGUGUCGGCAUGGCUGUCGUCAGCUCGUGUCGUGAGAUGUUGGGUUAAGUCCCGCAACGAGGGCAACCCUUGUCACUUAGUUGCUACAUUUAGUUGGGCACUCUAAUGAGACUGCCGGUGACAAACCGGAGGAAGGUGGGGAUGACGUCAAGUCCUCAUGGCCCUUAUAGGUAGGGCUACACACGUCAUACAAUGGAUGGUACAAAGGGUCGCCAACGCCGCGAGGGGGCAGCCAAUCCCAUAAAGCCAUUCGUAGUCCGGAUCGCAGUCUGCAACUCGACUGCGUGAAGUCGGAAUCGCUAGUAAUCGUGGAUCAGAAUGUCACGGUGAAUACGUUCCCCGGUGUCUUGUA
rnacentral:rRNA from 1 species